AUUGAACGCUGGCGGCAUGCCUAACACAUGCAAGUCGAACGGCAGCACAGCAGUAGCAAUACUGUGGGUGGCGAGUGGCGGACGGGUGAGGAAUACGUCGGAAUCUGCCCAGUCGUGGGGGAUAACUAGCCGAAAGGUUAGCUAAUACCGCAUACGACCGAGAGGUGAAAGCGGGGGGACCGCAAGGCCUCGCGCGAUUGGAUGAGCCGACGUCGGAUUAGCUAGUUGGCGGGGUAAAGGCCCACCAAGGCGACGAUCCGUAGCUGGUCUGAGAGGAUGAUCAGCCACACUGGAACUGAGACACGGUCCAGACUCCUACGGGAGGCAGCAGUGGGGAAUAUUGGACAAUGGGCGCAAGCCUGAUCCAGCAAUGCCGCGUGUGUGAAGAAGGCCUUCGGGUUGUAAGGCACUUUAUCUAGGACGAAAGACGUUAGGAGUUAAUAACUCUGACGUGCUGACGGUACCUGAGGAAUAAG
rnacentral:rRNA from 1 species